rnacentral:lncRNA from 1 species
ACUUCCUUCGCGUGGCUGCAAUCGGGAAGGGCGGAGCUAGUUUGUUCCUUUUGGUCAGGGUCAGUCUGUCAAGCAGUACCCUGUCACUGGUGGCUAAGAAGAUGAAGAUAACUACCCAUGGGAUUCCAUGAACAGAGCAGUCAUCUCUACUGACCUCAGCCACAAAACACCAGCCUUUCUAGCUUCCCUGGAUCCUUUGCUAACUGUGUUUUUUUCUGGGAUAGUAUGUGGUUCUCUAUUUGGCUUGAGAACAGAACACUCCUUCAAAUGGUUGAAGUAUCUUCAUUAUAUACAUGGUCUGCGCUUUAUCAUACUAAUUUUUUUUUCGAGGCAAGUUCUCACUCUGUCGUCCAGGCUGGAGUGCAGUGGCAUGAUCACAGAUCACUGCAGCCUUGAACUCAUGGGCUCAAGUGAUCCUCCUGCCUCAGCCUCCUGAGUAGCUGGGACUAUAGGCGCACACCACCAGGUCUGGCUAAUUUAUUAUUAUUAUUAUUUUUUGUUAGAGAUGGGGUCUCACUAUGUUGCCCAGGCUGGUCUCAAACUCCUGGGCUCAAGUGAUCCUCCCGCCUUGGCCUCUCAAUGUGUUGGGAUUACAGAUGUAAGCCACCUUGCCCAGCCCUAAAUUUUUUUUCUUAUGCUAAAAUACACAAAAAUGUACCAUCUUAACCAUGUUUAAUUGUGCAACUCCGUAGUGUGAAGUACAUUCACAUUGUUAUGUAGCCAUCGCUACUAUCAAUCCCCUGAACUUUUAAAAGAAUCAUCCCAAACAGAAAGUCUAUACUAAUUAAACACUAACUAUUCUUCCCUACCCCCAGCCCCUGGAAACUACUGUCUGUCUGUAUGAAUUUGCCUAUUCUAGGUACCUCACAUGAGUGGAAUCAUAUAUUUGUCCUUCCGUGACCUGCUUAUUUCACUUAGUAUAAUGUCCUCAAGGUUCAUCUAUGUUGUAGCAUAUGUAAGAAUUGUACUUCUUUUUAAGGCUGAAUCAUAUUCCAUUGUACAUAUAUACCUCAUGUUGUUUAUCCAUUCAUCCACAGAUGAACAUUUGGGUUGCUUCCACAUUUUGGCUAUUGUGACUUUAUCCUGUUUUAUAUUCUGCAGCAAUUUACAUCUUUAUUUUCAGAACUAUUAAGUUUCUUCAUAUUAACAGUCAUAGGAAGAGAGUCGUGAAAGACUUUUAUUUGAUUUCAUCUUUUGGCCAUUCUUUUUUUUUUUUUUUUUUUUGGCAGCCACAAAGACUGGGAUUUCUAAUUCUAUGUUAUGAUAAGUAGACAAUUUAAGCCAUCUAUCUUUUUUUUCUGUUUCCUUUUCAAAAAAAAGAAAAUAGUAUUUUUCUAAAAUAUGAUCAUGUCAAUUUGGUCUAUUUUUAUACGUGUUAAAGAGAGCACUAACAGACAAAAGAAUAACAAUAUAGCAAUUAGGUAUUUAGUUUUUUUAAAAAAGAAAAAAAGGUAGAGGAUGGGGCAAUAGAUAGCCUGCCUCUUCUCUAACCAAGUUGUGAACUAUUUAAGAAAUUGACAAUAAAGAGUAUGGCAUAUGGAGGCCAGAACAUUCCUUUUAUUAUGAACAAAGUUGAUUUGGGAGAAUGCAGCUUAUCUCUACUUGCAGGCAGGUGGCCAUCUUAAUUCUAUACCCCAGAAUUAAACAGGUCUCUCAGCCACUCAUAGACAUGUCUCCUGGAGGGAAAGAAAAAUUAUCAACUGACAAACAGUCUGAUUAAAUGCUUGUCUUUUAUACCUGCUAUGGUUUCAAUGUGCCUCAUCUAAAACUAAGUGUUGCUAAUGUGAUACUAUUAAGAGGUGGGGCCUUUAAAAGGUGAUUAGGCCACGAGGGCUCCUAUCUUGUGAAUGGGAUUAGGUGCCCUUAUAAAAGGGCUUGAAAGAGGGAGUUCAUCCCUUUUUGUUCUUCUGCCUUCUGUUAUAUGAGGACACAGCAUUCUUCCCCCACUCCUCAAGGAUGCAACAAUCAAGGCGCCAUCUUGGAAGCAGAGAGACUAGACACUCACCAGAUAAAUGAACCUGCCAGUGCCUUCAUCUUGGACUUCCUAACUUCCAGGACUGUGAGGAAACAAAUUCCUGUUCUUUAUAAAUUACCCAGUCUGUGGUAUCCUGUUAUAGCAGCUCAAAACAGACUAACGCAAUGCCCGCAACCCACUUCUCUGCCUUGGUACCCAUCAUAUUGUGUAGCAAUGAAUCUUGGCUUGUCUCUUUCCAAUAAGCAUGUUGCUUUCAUCCAUUCUUCCACUGACUCAACUGGUUUCAUUGAGUGCCUGUUUUGGGCCUAGCAGUACACUAGGUCUUGCAUUCAAGACCUCACAGAGGUGGCAGAAACUGACACGACACCUACCCUUAAGGAGAGAAGAAUAGAAAAUAUUGCAAAGGAGACAGAGUGCGGCAUUAGACAAUAAGAAGGGCAGAGUGACUUAACAAAGUGGGAGAAGGCUUUUCAUGGGAAGUCACAUUUUUGAUGAUGCCUCAAGUUCAAGGAGUACUUCACCAGUAUAUUAUACUCUGGUGUCCAGUAGAGGCGUAUAGCACGUAGCAGAGCUCAAUAAAUGCUUAACAAAUGAAUGAAUGAGUGAUAUAUGUGAAAGCACUUUAUACGCAAAGUACCACACAGAUGUUAACCAUUAUCCUUUAGUUAAUAUGGAGAGAUCUACUUUUAUUCAGCUUCUCUGAAACACCAAAAAUAUAUAUGGCAGUGUCUGGAGACAUUGUGAGUUGUCACAACUGGAGUUG